AUGCCACGCCUUGGCGAUGCUUCCCUUCGGCCGGAGGAGGACUUUGUCGUCGUGCCGGCUACACCAGAGAUGCAAGCCGAGUCUGCCAUCCUCUCCUCCAACGCUGUUGUGGCAUGGCUGGAGGGCGCACGGCAGGACAUUUCCUGCCGGCAGGUCGCCACGGAGCUCGCUGCGGCUCUGGGCGCUCGCCCGGCUGAUGUUGAGGUGGUGAAGCACUAUCCAGAGCAGUUCUUUGUCAGGUUCGUGUAUAAGCAUCAAUGUGCAGAGGUUGUGUCUCGCGACAGCCUCCCUGGAGCUGGCUACAACAUCUUCGUGCGCGAAUGGCGGCUGGAGGCGCAUGCCGAUAAUGAGGAUAUGCUGCUCCACGUCCGCCUGUGCAUGGAAGACGUCCCGCUGCACGGGUGGAACGAGUACAUCGCCACCUUCCUCAUCGGCCGCAGCUGCUCGCUUGACUACAUCGAGCCGCGCUCCCGACGCAAGGAGGACACGAGGGACUUGGCGCUCUGGGCGUGGACGGCCAACCCCAAUGCCAUCCCGAAAGUGAAGUGGCUCACGCUCCCUGCUCGUGGCCACCGUCACCGUGGGCGGCGCGGCCUCCGUCACCGCGUCAUCAUCCACCUCGACUUCCUCGAGGACCACUCCAAGGCCGCCGCCGAUGACGACAACCCGCCGUCAUUAGAAGUCCACGAGUUUACCUGGUUCCGCCGCGCCGUCGACGACACGGUCGUCCCUAGGGACCGGCGUGUGCCACAAGGGCGCGAGGUGCGACGCCAGGACAGGCGGGAUGACGAUGAGGGCGACCACGAUGACCGACGCGGUCGCGGCGACCGUGCUCGCGAGGGUUGGGGCGCCAGGGUACGGCGCUCGCUCUCCCACAACCCUCGUGAGCGCCAACGGGAGGUGGGUCAGGACCGCACCAGGGAGCGCUCUGGCGGCCAUAGGCAUGCCACCAACUCCAGCGCCCCUUUGUCGGCGGCCCUCGACGACGUGCCUGCACCGCUGCGUGGCUCGGGCUCGGUCAGCGGUGAGCAUGUGCGUGCUCUCGAGCUAUUGCCCCGCAGGUGCAGGGCCCUGCCGCGGUCUGGGGGCGCAGCCCCACUCGCCAGGCCUCUCCGCGCUCCACCAGACGCCGCUCUCAGGCGAGCCUCACUCCCCAGGCAUCUCCACCAUUAUCUCCGACUACGGUGCUGCCGGCAAGCCCGCGGUCCAAGCGCUCUGAAGAUAGGAGUUCUCCCAUGCGUCUCGCUGCGCCUAGCCCAUCACUACUCGAGCUCUACUCGUCUGUGA
rnacentral:rRNA from 1 species